ensembl:lncRNA
UGAUAACCUAACUGGUCAUCCUUAUGGUAUUUGCUCCAGGAAAGACUCUGUGAUGGUCCACUCUUGCCCGGGAAGGCGUUCUGGAAGCAGUGCCAACCUGGGGAAGACGUGUUGGCAUGGCAUCUUUCCAGUGCACGUGGAGAUACCAAAUACUACCUCUAAGGAUGCCCACCCCAGAUGGGACGGCCACUCCGGAAGAGAGGACUCCGUGCUCUUCAUGGAAGACGCGACUGGGUGGCCGGCCGGCCGGGGCCGCGGGCUCGUCCGAGCUGUAAGUCCUCUGGGCCCCUCGCCUGGGCGUCCUCCUGCAGGAGGCCUUCCAAGGGCCUCUCCCACUCCGGGGAAACAGCCGUGGUUUUGUCAUCAGUGUCACCUCCCGAGACGGCGAGGAGCGGCUUCCUGGGCCCCAGAGGAGACCCUGGUGUCAGCACCGUUCAGGGUGUGUGACUGGUUGACCAGAGGGGCAAGCACUCCGUUCACCCUCUGGGCUGCCUCGUCACCAACCCUCAGCACCAACCGCACCUGCCUGGGAGACGCGGAGGAGGUCCUGCCGACUUUGGGGACAGCGGUGGACGUGCGCCGGCGGCUGCUCCGUGGAUUCGGACAACCAUGGCAGGGAGGGCGCGUGGACUUAAAAAGGGAUGAGUUGUGGUGGUGGCAUCCACGUCACGGCCACAGCCUCCUUGAAGUGCUCCUGGGACAACGAGUUGCUUUCCAUUGAGGGAUCAGAAGCCAGUGGCCAGCUUCUGUUGGGGGUGUAUGACUGUUCCCUGAAUACAUACUUACUGAUUAGAUCUCGUACCUGAUCCUCUAACUCCUGGCCUCCCAUCUCUCCACAGAGGGUCCACGGAGGUGAUGCCCACGCGGGGAAGCAGCCAGGGUUCAACCAUCACAGGAUUCGAGGGGCUACCGUGAUGUGCUGAGGUGGCGAUGGCAGUGAGAUGGCAGCCCUCCUGGUCCAGGAGGACGAGCGGGAGUCACCGCUGCUUAGGUGUCAAAUUCUGCCUCGGAGGGCUUCCAGGCCAGUGCUGCUUCCAAGCAUCCUGUCCGCCCCAGUGGCCACUCCCAAGCUGCCCAGGCCGUGUGGAUGUGGGAAUGCCACCAGCAGUGCUGCCUCACGGUACUUGGAGGGAGGUUGUCCGUGGUGAGUUUGCAUUGUCUAAUGAUGCCCAAUACACGGUCGAUCUCUUUUCGGUAUCAGAUUGCACCGGGCAUCUACUCGGAGCUGAUGGGGACUGCAGGGAAGACACCCUCAUGUGGGUUCCAUGCCAGUGUACUUGAACCUGCAGUUGGCCCUGGAACUACCAGACAGGUGCCGCUAGCAUCCGUAUCAUUCAGUCAGUUCGUAGGUGACCAUAUGAUUUAGGUUUAAGACCCAAGUGAUUAGGGCAAUAGGGAUGUUCAUGAUGCUUCUGGGAAAUCUGGGUUUUCUAAAAGAAAAACAAACCAAAAACCCAGUGGAUAGUUCCCUUCUGUUUUAGUAUUAUAUCUUGUCCUGGAGAGGAGGACCUCUGAGCCAUGUGGGCAAAGUCACAGCGGGGGAACCAGUAUUAGUAUAUUUUCUGGGCUAAGAAGGGGUGAAUCAUCGUACCUGUUGGCCUGGAAGUCCUACCAAAUUUGAGGACAGAGGGCAGUGCUAGUUUCAACUUCUUGUUUUUCAUUUUAAAAUGACUAAUUAUUUUACAUUGUUACCAUACAUAUAAAAGAGGGUUGCAAAGACUUGGACAUAGAAAUGACACAUACUUAACAGUAAAAAUUCAAGCAGUGUGGGAAAAUGUUAAGUAACAAAGGGAGACAGUAUCCAAUCUCUGCAACCCAGAAGUAAGCUUCAGGGCUUUAGAAGUUUCUGAAUACUUGGCCAAGCAUAUAUCCAAAUAGAAAGGAAGACAAAGUGAGAUGCAAAUAUUUUACCAAUAUGUAAUCUUUGUUGAAAUGUUAACUGUAAUUUUACUAAAGUUCUUUGUUAAAAAUGUUAACCAUUAUUUUACUUUAACAUAAAGAAUAUGCUUAAGAAAAUUAGAAGAAUUAAUAAAUAUUUCUUGCUCUUCUGAAAGAAGUAUUAAUUCCUAAAAGAUCUCUAUAAGAUUAAGAAAAAUCACUGUGUAAAACAUGAAAUAGUUGGGAUCAUUACAUAUUUUUUAACUGUUUUAAUUUCACUUGAGGUUCUGAAAGAUAAGGAAAUCAGCUCCACCUCCUGCUUUUUUUUUAAAGCUAUACUGUACAAUAUAAUUUUCUCAUUAUAAAUAUUUGCAUUGUGUUCUAUAAUCACAGUUCUUAUAGAUGUUAAAUCAUAGUUCUAUAUUUAAAUGGAUUCAUGGCUGACAAUUAGUGCUUUUUUUCCCCCUUAAACUAAACCUUCUUUCUUCCUAAGUUUGAAUUCAUAUCUCAGAAUAAUUGCUUUUAAUUUUAAUUCAUAUCAGAAUAACUUUGUUCAAGAAUGGCUCAGUAACACUGCUCAGUGCUUGCACGUCUGGGGAUGCCUGCCUCUUGUCUAUGUACACAAGGGACACCUUAGCUCGUCUACUUUUUCUUUCCCCUCAGAACUUUGUAGUUGCUACUUCAUUGUCUUCUGCACUCAGUAUCAUAAUAGCUUUUAAACCAUGAACUCUCUACAUACCUCUGACUUAGCUAGAUACAUAUCUUGUGGACCUUCAUAUACUUUGUUAGAGAGGCUUUGGGUCACUGUCUUCUGUGAGGUCUUUCAUCUCUGAGAAUGUCUAACCCUGACUGUUACACUUUUACUCAUCUGCUUGUAUUUUUCAUACUCUUCUAUUUGGCCCUGUGAUUUUCAGUUCUUUUUGCCCUUAGACAUUUUGACAAUACUUGCUGUUCAUUUCUCUCAGGUUUAAGGGUAUAAGUGCUAUUCUUUGGUGAGUUGGUUGACUCAUAAUAAUGCUUUCCGUCCUGGGUUUUGUAACUUUUUUCUGUGAGGUUAUCAUCAGGGGGAUUAACAUUUGUGUGUUGUGUUAUUCCUUUUACAACAUGAUGGUUCUACGUUUGGCUUUGUAUGGCAUCAGGCUUUCAACAGUCAGGACUCAUCUGUUGGCUUAAGGAGUCCCACGCCUUAAUGUCUGGUAUAAAUCCUCACCACAUCUUGGUCCAGGAGCUUGGAUUCUCACAGGGGAGCACAUUCUACCCAGAGCUUGCAUGGAAAUACCCUCUGUUGUCAUCUCUCUAGGCCAGGACAGCGUUUUCUGACUCUCCUUCCCAUCCCAGGCCUCCGCCUCUUUCCAUCCCUAUGUCACGUGUCCUGUCCCUGCUUGGACAUUAAGACUAAAGACCCCUAAGCCUCUCAGCGUCCUUCAGAUCCCUUGGCCCAGAUUUCUUUCAUCAUUGGCGGCUGGCUUCCCUCUUAUUCUUUACAGCUGUGCAUGUAUCACUUGGUUUUGGCCUCGAUUUCAUUUUAUCCCUCGUUUCUUUCUGCAUGUGGAGGAGAGGGUUCUCUAUUAGCUCUUUUGCAGGGUCUGACUCAGUCACUAUCUUUCUUCAUCAGUUUUUCUGAACCAUAUCCCUUCUUAAUGAGUCAAGUUAGCUACUUUUUCAUUUCAAGGAUGUCUUCUUCUGGUAUAAGCACUUUUCUGUUCUAUGUGUUGGUCUUAUCUUAGGGUAAAUGGUCAUUUAUUAUUUCAUUGGCAGCUGGAGAAGGGAAAAACCUAUGAUCUGGCCCCAUGCUGCCACUUUUAUUUGGAAGACUCAUUAUUGUCAUUUGCGCUCUGCAUUUGUCUGUUUAACAUGAAUUACACCCAGAUUCCUCCUUCUCAGUAUCCUCUUCCACCUUGGCAGGAUGCCUCAUUAUAGUGCCACCUUCUGGGAUGUACAUGGAGUCAGUACCGUUUGCUAGGUAUGUGAAUUUAUUUUAACAAUGGAGGAUUUUUUUUUUCAUCAUAUUUCUGCUGGUCUAGUAACCCUAAAUAUGCAUUUUAUCCUUAGGGAGACUUCUUGGAUGUAACCCACCUUUAGAGAUAAGGUCACAACUCUGAGGUCAGUGCAGUAUAUCUUGGGAUAUAAGAAAGUUUGUGUCCGAUGCUGUCCGUUUCUUUAUGAGCAGUAUUGUAAACUCAACUUCUUUGGAAUGAACUCCAGCUUUGGAGGGCUUCCUGGACACGAGGUGUAAGUGAGAAAAGGACCACUGCUGUCAGCUUGGAUGCAAAUAUGAAAUGAGGCUGUGUUCCCUGCUAUGAUAGAUAACGAAUUCUUAUCCCUUGACCUCUCCACCAUGCAAUACCCUUGAAAGUGCUUCUUAGAUAUCCUGUCAAACAGGCAAAGGUGUUGAUGUCUGGGCUACUUCAGGGUCUAGGAUGGGACAGUUGAAUGAACUCGGGGGUAUGUUUCACUCAUGACCCUUUCUUCCAGUUUGUUAACACUCAGUAUUCCCUCUGUCCUUAGGACUUUCCGGAGGAGGCCAGCUUUGAAGAUGAGGCCCUGGCACCUGGUUAGUGCUAAUCUGCGGAACUUGAAGAUAGGUUAUCCGUGUAGCCUUCGCUUUACUUGUGACGAAUCAUACACGGUUCACCUAUUUUUUAG